rnacentral:rRNA from 1 species
GACGUAGGGCGCAAGCGUUUGUCCGGAUUUAUUGGGCGUAAAGAGCUCGUAGGCGGCCUGUCGCGUCGACCGUGAAAACCCGCAGCUCAACUGCGGGCUUGCGGUCGAUACGGGCAGGCUCGAGUUCGGUAGGGGAGACUGGAAUUCCUGGUGUGAGCGGUGAAAUGCGCAGAUAUCAGGAGGAACACCGGUGGCGAAGGCGACUACCUGGCCUGUUCUUGACGCUGAGGCGCGAAAAGCUAGGGGGAGCAAACGGGG